GCCCUCUAGUUUCCUUCCCCAGUAGAACUAACACUGGUCUGAAUGGUUACAGAAGGAGGGAAAAUAACAUUGAAACUGAUGUCAAUGCUUUUGUAGCACCUGGACCAGUUAAGC
rnacentral:snoRNA from 1 species